UGAGCACUCAUUUCGUCGGUUGUUUUUCUUUUUUGAAUAGAAGAAAUAGAAAAGGUGAAAUGAAAAUCCCCAUCAAGUUGGUAUUCAGACUCAACACCACGGCCUUUGUUUUAUAAGCCCCCAGCGUGACGCCACGAGCACCCGUAGUGGAGCCCUGUGGAGCAGAGCAGGAGCGGAUGCUACGAAUUGUUGCGUAGGCGUAUGAUGCUCGGUAACGCUAGUUCGCUUGGAGUGGAGGGAGGAGUGACGUCACUAGUAACGCGACCAAGAAGGAAAGUCGCUUUCAGAUGGUGUUAGGUCGUGUGUCCCAUCAGGGAUACACACGAUGGAAUCAUCAAGAGUCCAUACAAGCGACGCGCUUCUAAUUAUUCUAAGGAUCAAAGCCGGUAAGAUGGUGUGAAAAAUAAAUUAUUUUCCUUCGAAAUGAAUCCGCGAGAGCCAG